rnacentral:rRNA from 1 species
UACAGAGGUCCCAAGCGUUGUUCGGAUUCAUUGGGCGUAAAGGGUGCGUAGGUGGCGCUGUAAGUCGGGUGUGAAAUUUCGGAGCUUAACUCCGAAACUGCAUUCGAUACUGCGGUGCUCGAGGACUGGAGAGGAGACUGGAAUUCAUGGUGUAGCAGUGAAAUGCGUAGAGAUCAUGAGGAAGACCAGUGGCGAAGGCGGGUCUCUGGACAGUUCCUGACACUGAGGCACGAAAGCUAGGGGAGCAAACGGG